rnacentral:misc_RNA from 1 species
GGGCUGCUGCUCUUCGCGUGAAACGGGUCAAUUCCGGUGGCCUUAAUCAACUCCGAGGGAGCCGGCUCUUGCGAGACCCUGGUUUCGUAACCUGGCGCCCACCUGUGCAAACAGGUCCUCGGGAAUUCAACCCCACGGUCGCGGCGGGGCCCGC